AGCCUUUGAAAAGAGCAUAGAAUUGAGUCAGCUCAGGUUUGCUUCCCUUCUUGAAGGAAAAUUGUGUUCAAUAAUGGAAUAAUUACGGCUUGUGAAGGAAGAGAACUGAACUUAACGUUACGUUUUUAGGAUACUUAUUUACUUGUUUGUUUGUUUGUUUUUACAACAGUGUUGGAGAAACUUGGGGGGAGUGCGGGGAGUCCAUUGGCCAUGAGUGGACCUGAGUUUUUGUGUGUGUGUGUCUUUGACACGGUAGUUUUGAUCCUCUGGAGGAAGCCAACAGACAGCCUUUGUAUGCAUGUGGUUAUCAGUUCUGCACUGUUGUUGGCAUUGGUGCUGUAUCCUCCAAUCCCCUUUUCCAUUCAUCUUCCCUCCCCUUCUCCCCUUUCUAUCACACAAACACAGAAUGGACUUGCAUCAUAAGCAUGAUUAACCUUGGCGAAUCUAGUGUCUCAGUAAAAAUACGUAC
rnacentral:lncRNA from 1 species